rnacentral:lncRNA from 1 species
AGCUGUUCAUAGUCAUGAUAAAUCACCAGCUUUGUAUCUACCUGCAUCAUAUUGAUGAAUCCUACCCGCCAUCCUGUGGCUUGCCGGGGCUCAGAAAAAGGUUUGUUUCCAGUGCCCCUGUCAUCACAAUGGAAGAAGGGAGGAGGGGGUAAUUCCAGCCAGCACCAUCGUAGUUCC